GCCUGGCAGAUAGCUCAGUUGGUACAGCAUGAGACUCUUAAUCUCAGAGUCAUAGGUUCGAGUCCCACAUUGGGCA